rnacentral:rRNA from 1 species
UUAAUUGAAGAGUUUGAUCAUGGCUCAGAUUGAACGCUGGCGGCAGGCCUAACACAUGCAAGUCGAGCGGUAACAUUUCAAAAGCUUGCUUUUGAAGAUGACGAGCGGCGGACGGGUGAGUAAUGCCUAGGAAAUUGCCCUGAUGUGGGGGAUAACCAUUGGAAACGAUGGCUAAUACCGCAUGAUGCCUACGGGCCAAAGAGGGGGACCUUCGGGCCUCUCGCGUCAGGAUAUGCCUAGGUGGGAUUAGCUAGUUGGUGAGGUAAUGGCUCACCAAGGCGACGAUCCCUAGCUGGUCUGAGAGGAUGAUCAGCCACACUGGAACUGAGACACGGUCCAGACUCCUACGGGAGGCAGCAGUGGGGAAUAUUGCACAAUGGGCGCAAGCCUGAUGCAGCCAUGCCGCGUGUAUGAAGAAGGCCUUCGGGUUGUAAAGUACUUUCAGUCGUGAGGAAGGUGGUGUUGUUAAUAGCAGCAUCAUUUGACGUUAGCGACAGAAGAAGCACCGGCUAACUCCGUGCCAGCAGCCGCGGUAAUACGGAGGGUGCGAGCGUUAAUCGGAAUUACUGGGCGUAAAGCGCAUGCAGGUGGUUCGUUAAGUCAGAUGUGAAAGCCCGGGGCUCAACCUCGGAACUGCAUUUGAAACUGGCGGACUAGAGUACUGUAGAGGGGGGUAGAAUUUCAGGUGUAGCG